rnacentral:rRNA from 1 species
CAGGCCUAACACAUGCAAGUCGAACGAUGCUUUCGGGCAUAGUGGCGCACGGGUGCGUAACGCGUGGGAAUCUGCCCUUGGGUCUGGGAUAACAGUUGGAAACGACUGCUAAUACCGGAUGAUAUCGCGAGAUCAAAGAUUUAUCGCCCGAGGAUGAGCCCGCGUCAGAUUAGCUAGUUGGUGGGGUAAAGGCCUACCAAGGCGACGAUCUGUAGCUGGUCUGAGAGGAUGAUCAGCCACACUGGGACUGAGACACGGCCCAGACUCCUACGGGAGGCAGCAGUGGGGAAUAUUGGACAAUGGGCGAAAGCCUGAUCCAGCAAUGCCGCGUGAGUGAUGAAGGCCUUAGGGUUGUAAAGCUCUUUUACCCGGGAUGAUAAUGACAGUACCGGGAGAAUAAGCCCCGGCUAACUCCGUGCCAGCAGCCGCGGUAAU